CGCUGUUUGAGCUCCAACGUCGUUGUGCCUCUUCAAAUCUCACCACCUCUGAACUACGCCUCUGUAAUUGCUUCCAUUUUCAUGUAUACAUUAAUCCUAGCAUUUAGCAAACCACUCCUCCCACUUUCUCGCAUUUACUCCAUUAAGAUCCACCCUUCUAUUAUGUCUACCUCUCUGCCUCUUCCAUGGUUACUGAGGAAAUCUGCACAUAUAAAAAAAGAUGUAUUCCUUCUUGAAACUCAUUCCCCCUGCUACUCAAAUAUUACAGUGUCUUUCAAACCCACAUUCCAAUUUGGCGAAAACCUCUCGAUAGCACUGCUUCUCUCUUUCUCUCGCAGUUUACCUCAGGAAACUCAAUUGAUUGCACUUAAAGUUUUCCCAUUUCUAAUUACAUUUGUGAAAAGCGAGUAAAUAGAAGGUAAGACCAGUUUACUAUUUUUUGAGAUCGAAGAAUUACAAGAAACAGAUUGUGAAGAUCAUGAUCAAGGCAGUGAUAAUGACGAACACACAAGGCACGCUUACACAUUUUUUUAAUGAAUUCUUUACGAUUGUUUGGUGAUAUUUCUUCUUUUUUGCAGAUUUUAUUUCGUCUAUCGAUCUCGACCGGUUUUCAUCUGCAGCGUGUUUUGAAUUUUAACAGUUCCAGUUUACGAUCGUGUUUUUAAUGGUUUCUGGAUUUUUAACACUAUCAUUACGUUCACAGUAUUGUGCAGUAGAUCUGAGAGCGUAAGAAAUUGUAAAAAUUGAUUCUUUUUUCAUUGGGUAAAGUAACAUUAGCAACAUUUUCUCUUUAUUCCUCCCAGCAUGCCUCCCAAUCUCUCUUGCAAUAUGUGUCUAUAUGUUCAAUCGCUAGCACCAAUCAAGAAUCGUAUCUCAAAUGUGAACUAAAACUAUAUUUCUUUGCAGGUUUAACCCAGUCAGAAAUCAAAGCUACAAGAAGGGAUGGGGAAAAUAAAAAUCAGUGGCUCUCAAGGAUCUACGAAGAUAUGGAAGAUUUUCUUGUAAAGCAAUUAUAAGAAGCACCCAAGACAAAAACUUCCAAAAAUUAAGUUUGAACAAGGAACAAUAUCAUACAAUGCUCAUUUCAUGUUUCUCUGGCAAGAACCACUAGAUGCGCUUUCUCACAAGCGACUCUUUUUUUUUCAUUGAUGUCAGCUUCUGCAUCGAAUGGAGCCUUUAUUAAUUAGGUAUUGGCUGAAGAACGGUGUAGAGAAUGUGAAAACUAUGAAAAAAUGGCGUCACUUAAUGAAAGGACGUAGGAAUACCAAAGACAAGUUGAUUGAGAAAAUAUGAACUCAAUUGAUUCACUUGCAGGGAUGGCAUGAUAAUACCUUUUUGUACUGAGGUGUACUCACACCUAAUAUCUUUAUAUUGUUUUUAUCUUAUAGAAUACAUUAUCUUAAAUAAAAAUAAAUUAUACAUUGUAGUU